GGAAUAUUGCACAAUGGGGGAAACCCUGAUGCAGCGAUGCCGCGUGGAGGAAGAAGGUUUUCGGAUUGUAAACUCCUUUUAUCAGGGACGAUAAUGACGGUACCUGAAGAAAAAGCUCCGGCUAACUACGUGCCAGCAGCCGCGGUAAUACGUAGGGAGCGAGCGUUGUCCGGAAUUACUGGGUGUAAAGGGAGCGUAGGCGGGACGGCAAGUCAGAUGUGAAAACUGAGGGCUCAACCUUCAGACUGCAUUUGAAACUGCUGUUCUUGAGUGAAGUAGAGGUAAGCGGAAUUCCUAGUGUAGCGGUGAAAUGCGUAGAUAUUAGGAGGAACAUCGGUGGCGAAGGCGGCUUACUGGGCUUUUACUGACGCUGAGGCUCGAAAGCGUGGGGAGCAAACA
rnacentral:rRNA from 1 species